UGUAAACUACGUUCGGUAUCGGUGCCAUCCUCUACGCGUUGGAACCUGCGUCCCAAUCAGGCCUUGCUCGCCAAAUAAGACGGGAUACCGAACUACAUACAUCGUAACAUAAUAUCGUGAAACCUAAGCGUCGAUGCCAGACGAUUCCCUCGAUCGAGGGAAUACACGACGUCACGUUACUUCCCACUGCCACUCUACAGUACGUCGUUUGUGCCACGUGACAUGAGUUUCGUCUGGAACGUUGUAUACAGAAUGACUCGUAACGUCACAAGUUCACUUAACAGAGGCAACUUUUCCCUUAAUUCUCUCGAUCUGGUAACGCUGGAUGCGUGCACCGCACCAUGUUUCAACGUAUACAGGCGCUUUAACAUGUAACCUGCUCCCGCGUACGACAGCGGACAAAAGCAAGUUUAAAUACAAGUGGUACGAAAAAUAUCAUAAUUUUACGAAGCAGAACUGUACUCGACGAAAGAAACGAAUAAAUAUAUGAGACGCGACUGUCAGCAAACGUAAUGGAAAAUAUCUAACACAAAGGUUCCUAAUACGUGCAUACGGCAAUAUAUUUCAACUUUCUUCUGUCCGCUACU